GACGUAGGAGGCGAGCGUUGUCCGGAUUCAUUGGGCGUAAAGAGCGCGCAGGCGGCUUGGUAAGUCGGAUGUGAAAUCCCGAGGCUCAACCUCGGGUCUGCAUCCGAUACUGCCCGGCUAGAGGUAGGUAGGGGAGAUCGGAAUUCCUGGAUGUAGCGGUGAAAUGCGUAGAUAUCUGGAGGAACACCGGUGGCGAAGGCGGCAUCCUGGACCAAUUCUGACGCUGAGGAGCGAAAGCCAGGGGAGCAAACGGG
rnacentral:rRNA from 1 species